rnacentral:rRNA from 1 species
GACGAACGCUGGCGGCGUGCUUAACACAUGCAAGUCGAACGGAAAGGCCCUGCUUUUGUGGGGUGCUCGAGUGGCGAACGGGUGAGUAACACGCGAGUAACCUGCCCUUGACUUUGGGAUAACUUCAGGAAACUGGGGCUAAUACCGGAUAGGAGCUCCUGCUGCAUGGUGGGGGUUGGAAAGUUUCGGCGGUUGGGGAUGGACUCGCGGCUUAUCAGCUUGUUGGUGGGGUAGUGGCUUACCAAGGCUUUGACGGGUAGCCGGCCUGAGAGGGUGACCGGCCACCUUGGGACUGAGAUACGGCCCAGACUCCUACGGGCGGCAGCAGUGGGGAAUAUUGCACAAUGGGCGGAAGCCUGAUGCAGCAACGCCGCGUGCGGGAUGACGGCCUUCGGGUUGUAAACCGCUUUCGCCUGUGACGAAGCGUGAGUGACGGUAAUGGGUAAAGAAGCACCGGCUAACUACGUG